rnacentral:lncRNA from 1 species
GAAAAUGGAAAGUGCUCUCUCUUUGUUGAUUAAUUCAUUUAACAGAAUAGCCACGUGCAUCAAUCAACAAAUUUUACCACACACGUGAGGUUACACGUUAUGAAGUAGUAUAUAUCGUUUUAACGUUGUUAACUACGAAACUCCAGUAGAGUUGGCUAUUUAUAGAUAAAAGUUACCUGUGUACCAAUAUCAUGAAUAUGCAUGAAUAAUGACCAGGCAAAAUCUAAUUGCUAAAAUAGAGAAGACAAAUCCGAUACUCUACGGGAUUGAAG